CAGUUGGUGAGAGAAGUGAUGUAACAAGGUGCGCCAAGAUGGAGAAGGACAGAAACAAGAUGGCCACCAAGAUACUAAGCCUGACCCUGGAGAUCAUCUACCUGCUGACCGGAGAGGAUUAUGUUGUGGUGAGGAAGUCGGGUGAGGACCAUAUUUCGGGAGGUCAUAGCAGAACCCGGAGCCCCGUCACAGAACCUGCACUUCCCUCGCUGGCUUCUGAGAGAGUCAGUGAUCGCAAGAUCCUGGAACUGAUCAC